rnacentral:tRNA from 1 species
AGGCUAAUAUUUUAUUUAGAAAUAUCAAUUUGCACUUGAUAAGUGUUUAGUUAACUUAGCCAA